UAUGGGAUAGCCACUAGAAAUGGUGGGUAAUACUGUAUAAUCCCCGCGGGGGAAAGAUUUAUCGCUAUUAGAUGAGCCUAUGUUAGAUUAGCUAGUUGGUAGGGUAAAGGCCUACCAAGGCAGUGAUCUAUAGCUGGUCUGAGAGGAUGAUCAGCCACACUGGAACUGAGAUACGGUCCAGACUCCUACGGGAGGCAGCAGUGGGGAAUAUUGGACAAUGGGCGCAAGCCUGAUCCAGCUAUGCCGCGUGAGUGAGGAAGGCCUUAGGGUUGUAAAACUCUUUCAGUGGGGAAGAUAAUGACGGUACCCACAGAAGAAGUCCCGGCAAACUCCGUGCCAGCAGCCGCGGUAAUACGGAGGGGGCAAGCGUUGUUCGGAAUUAUUGGGCGUAAAGGGCAUGUAGGCGGUUCGGUAAGUUAAAGGUGAAAUGCCAGGGCUUAACCCUGGAGCUGCUUUUAAUACUGCCAGACUCGAGUCCGGGAGAGGAUAGCGGAAUUCCUAGUGUAGAGGUGAAAUUCGUAGAUAUUAGGAGGAACACCAGUGGCGAAG
rnacentral:rRNA from 1 species